UUUUCUUCCCUCUUCUGCUUUGCCAUUUUCUCAUACUCAGCAAUUGAGUCCUCAUUGUCAAGCAGAUAACUAAUGUGCUUCUGAUUGUACAUAUCUAAGCAUUUUUCACAUCUGCAAAGGACAUCCCUCCAAUUUUUGGAAAGAAACAGUGGUUUACUUUCUAAAACAGGCAGAUUAACAGUAUCAACUCCCAGAACACAAGUACUCUGAAGGUUAGCAUCCUUUGUGCUUUGAUUUGAACUGAUAUUCUUCUCAGAGCUCUCUCCAAUAACAGAUGCCUCCGCAACAGGCACAGAAUCACCAUUAGCAUUAGCCAUUGCAUUAUUAUCUCCAGAAGAACAAGGAGAACAAGCAUCAUUCUUAAGAUUUCUAGAUCCACAAGCUGAAGAUGUGUCUUCUAACACAUUUUUAUCCUUACUAUUACUUACAGUAGCGUCACCUCUCUUCCCCCCCGCUGCCCAUAUAGUCUGAGGAUAUAGUAUCAGAAAAGAACAAAUUGCUGAGCAUGUCUUGCAUAUGAAAUCCUCGUACAGAGGCUCUCCUUCCUCAUCUCUUGGGAUCUCAUUGGAAGACUCAAGACCAAGAUGUUCCUCAUGAAACCAGUCCUCACACAU
rnacentral:misc_RNA from 1 species